UUAACUCAAAUGUGUAUGGAGUUGGAAUGUUUGCCUACGUUUGCCGCUAGGGGCGCUGUUCCAACUGUUAUCUUUACGCUA
rnacentral:pre_miRNA from 1 species